UACGUAGGGGGGCAAGCGUUGUCCGGAUUUAUUGGGCGUAAAGAGCUCGUAGGCGGUUGGGCAAGUCACGUGUGAAAUCUCCACGCUCAACGUGGAGGCGCCACGUGAGACUGCCCCUGACUCGAGUCCGGUAGGGGAGCGUGGAAGUUCCCGGUGUAGCGGUGGAAAUGCGCAGAGAUCGGGAGGAACACCCGUAGCGAAGGCGGCAUCCUGGACCAAUUCUGACGCUGAGUGAGCGAAAGCCAGGGGAGCAAACGGG
rnacentral:rRNA from 1 species